rnacentral:rRNA from 1 species
GAUGAACGCUGGCGGCGUGCUUAACACAUGCAAGUCGAACGAAGCACUCUACUUGAUUUCCUUCGGGAUUGAUUGUUCUGUGACUGAGUGGCGGACGGGUGAGUAACGCGUGGAUAACCUGCCUCACACAGGGGGAUAACAGUUGGAAACGGCUGCUAAUACCGCAUAAGCGCACAGCACCGCAUGGUGCAGUGUGAAAAACUCCGGUGGUGUGAGAUGGAUCCGCGUCUGAUUAGCUGGUUGGCGGGGUAACGGCCGCCAAGGCGACGAUCAGUAGCCGGCCUGAGAGGGCGACCGGCCACAUUGGGACUGAGACACGGCCCAGACUCCUACGGGAGGCAGCAGUGGGGAAUAUUGCACAAUGGGGGAAACCCUGAUGCAGCGACGCCGCGUGAGCGAUGAAGUAUUUCGGUAUGUAAAGCUCUAUCAGCAGGGAAGAUAAUGACGGUACUUGACUAAGAAGCUCCGGCUAAAUACGUGCCAGCAGCCGCCGUAACAC